rnacentral:rRNA from 1 species
GACGAACGCUGGCGGCGUGCUUAACACAUGCAAGUCGAACGGACAGACAGAGAGCUUGCUCUCUUGAAGUUAGUGGCGAACGGGUGAGUAACGCGUAAUCAACCUGCCCUUCAGAGGGGGAUAACAACGGGAAACCGUUGCUAAUACCGCGUACGAUUCAUGAACGGCAUCGUUUAUGAAUGAAAGGGGGCCUCUAUGUAUAAGCUAUCGCUGAAGGGGGGGAUUGCGUAUGAUUAGCUAGUUGGAGGGGUAACGGCCCACCAAGGAAAUGAUCGGUAGCCGGUCUGAGAGGAUGAACGGCCACAUUGGGACUGAGACACGGCCCAAACUCCUACGGGAGGCAGCAGUGGGGAAUCUUCCGCAAUGGACGAAAGUCUGACGGGGCAACGCCGCGUGAGUGAUGAAGGUCUUCGGAUUGUAAAGCUCUGUUAAUCGGGACGAAAGAGUUCUGCGUGAAUAAUGCAGAAAAGUGACGGUACCGGAAUAGAAAGCCACGGCUAACUACGUGCCAGCCGCCGCCGUAA